UGUAAUCCCACUUUGCAGAAGGCAAGAAGCAGAAAGGGCCAUUACUCACCCUGAGAUGCAUGAGACCUUAUAUCCAAAAAACACAAUUGCUACCUGGCUCAGCCCUUCACAAGGGCUUCAUAAGUAUGAAGCCUGGAGUUUCGAUCCUAAUACUCACAAACCCAGAUAGCAAGCCAGGAACCCUGUGUACUUCUGAAAUCCCACCACUGAGCAGGGCGCCAGCAGAAGAAUGGUGAACUCUAGAUUCUGUGAAGGAAUAGUGUGAUUUACAUAUACUAUUAAUAACUAUUAUAAGUUGGGCCUGGUGCAUCUUUUAUCCCAUCAGAGAGCUAAGUCUCUGAAUUCGAAACCAGAUGUACAUAGUGAGACAGUAGAAAGCUCCUGUCUCAAGAAAUAAAUAAUAACUGUGAGUGUUGGCUCAUAACUGUAAAUGCUAUUCCUGAAGGAGCAAGAAGCUAAGGCAAUUAAGGCUAGCUAGCCUUACAACUAAGUGUCAAAAUGGGAUAUAGCUCAGUGAGAGAGCACUUGAUGGACAUUUAUUUACAAAGCCCUGAUGUGAUUCCCCCAAACCACCAAGAACUAAAGUAUACUUCCUCUGGUAGAUUUUCAUGCAUUCUUACCCUGUCUGUGCACUUUCUAGGCCCACAAGCUUCUCUCUUAUUCUUAUAGCCAACUUCUCUCUGCCUGAGAAAUGCGACUAUAUGGAUGAGGUGACAUAUGGGGAGCUGGAAAAAGAGGAAGCUCAGCCCAUUGUUACUAAAUACAAGGAGGAAGCAAGGAAGCUGCUGCCCCCCUCUGAGAAGCGGACAAACCGCCGGAACAACCGCAACAAGAGAAACCGGCAGAACCGAAGCCGAGGCCAAGGCUAUGUGGGCGGGCAGCGCCGAGGCUACGACAACCGGGCCUACGGGCAGCAGUACUGGGGGCAGUCUGGAAACAGAGGGGGCUACCGUAAUUUCUAUGAUCGAUACAGGGGUGACUAUGAACGAUUCUACAGUCGAGAUUAUGAAUACAACAGAUACAGAGAC
rnacentral:lncRNA from 1 species